rnacentral:rRNA from 1 species
AAGACGAACCGUGCGAACGUUGUUCGGAAUCACUGGGCUUAAAGGGCGCGUAGGCGGGCUGUCAAGUCUGGGGUGAAAUCCCACGGCUCAACCGUGGAACGGCCUCAGAUACUGACGGCCUCGAGGAAGGUAGGGGCACGCGGAACUGUAGGUGGAGCGGUGAAAUGCGUUGAUAUCUACAGGAACUCCGGUGGCGAAAGCGGCGUGCUGGACCUUUUCUGACGCUGAGGCGCGAAAGCUAGGGGAGCAAACGGG